rnacentral:rRNA from 1 species
UACAGAGGUCCCAAGCGUUGUUCGGAUUCAUUGGGCGUAAAGGGUGCGUAGGCGGCGCGGUAAGUCGGGUGUGAAAUCUCGGGAGCUUAACUCCGAACUGCAUUCGAUACUGCCGUGCUUGAGGACUGGAGAGGAGACUGGAAUUUACGGUGUAGCGGUGAAAUGCGUAGAUAUCGUAAGGAAGACCAGUGGCGAAGGCGGGUCUCUGGACAGUUCCUGACGCUGAGGCACGAAGGCCAGGGGAGCAAACGGG